GGCAGUGUAGUGCGGUGGUUUGAGUGUUAGACUAUAACUCUGGAGACCUGGGUUUGAUUCCCAGAUUGGCCA
rnacentral:tRNA from 1 species